UCCAGACUCCUACGGGAGGCAGCAGUGAGGAAUAUUGGUCAAUGGGCGGGAGCCUGAACCAGCCAAGCCGCGUGAGGGAAGAAGGUACAGCGUAUCGUAAACCUCUUUUGUCAGGGAACAAAGGCGGGGACUAGUCCCCGGACGAGGGUACCUGAAGAAAAAGCAUCGGCUAACUCCGUGCCAGCAGCCGCGGUAAUACGGAGGGUGCAAGCGUUGUCCGGAAUCAUUGGGCGUAAAGAGUUCGUAGGCGGUAUGUUAAGUCUGGUGUUAAAUGCAGAAGCUCAACGUCUGUUCGGCACUGGAUACUGGCAAACUAGAAUGCGGUAGAGGUAAAGGGAAUUCCUGGUGUAGCGGUGAAAUGCUUAGAUAUCAGGAGGAACAUCGGUGGCGUAAGCGCUUUACUGGGCCGUAAUUGACGCUGAGGAACGAAAGCCAGGGUAGCAAAUGGGAUUAGAUACCCCCGUA
rnacentral:rRNA from 1 species